GAUGAACGCUGGCGGCGUGCCUAAUACAUGCAAGUCGAGCGAACGGACGAGAAGCUUGCUUCUCUGAUGUUAGCGGCGGACGGGUGAGUAACACGUGGAUAACCUACCUAUAAGACUGGGAUAACUUCGGGAAACCGGAGCUAAUACCGGAUACUAUUUUGAACCGCAUGGUUCAAAAGUGAAAGACGGUCUUGCUGUCACUUAUAGAUGGAUCCGCGCUGCAUUAGCUAGUUGGUAAGGUAACGGCUUACCAAGGCAACGAUGCAUAGCCGACCUGAGAGGGUGAUCGGCCACACUGGAACUGAGGCACGGUCCAGACUCCUACGGGAGGCAGCAGUAGGGAAUCUUCCGCAAUGGGCGAAAGCCUGACGGAGCAACGCCGCGUGAGUGAUGAAGGUCUUCGGAUCGUAAAACUCUGUUAUUAGGGAAGAACAUAUGUGUAAGUAACUGUGCACAUCUUGACGGUACCUAAUCAGAAAGCCACGGCUAACUACGUG
rnacentral:rRNA from 1 species